UGGCAAUGUAGGGCUCUUUGUACUGAGGAGGCUGUUGCUCAACUGAGUCUGUUACCAGGCUCUAUAUUAUACGUAAGUACAGUGGUUAAGAAAGACAGCGUCAAAUAAGAGAACAAAAAGCAACUGGAUUAACAGUGAACAGAUUGCAAAGGAAGAAACAGAUAAGUAUUUAACAAGAACAAGGAUGGAUGUACUUUGGAGUAUUUUUCCUGGAUUUCAGUAAAAAGAACAUCAAAUAAAUGCAUUUUCCAUGAAACACUAAUGCUAUUAGUUAUAAACUCUGUUAAUCCUUCCCCACCCGUUUGCCCUGAGUCCUUCUCAUUUACUUACCGUAUUGGCUGGCUGACAAAGGCAUUUUUGUGGAGUCUAUAUGCUACAUAGCUUGGGAAAGAACCUGAUUCCAGUGAUACACCUUGCACAGAAGCAAAAUGCUUCUCUGUCAGAUUAUAUGAUUCCAACAUCUUGAAACCAGGUGAAGUAUAUCCUUCCAAGUAAAUAAGAGGACAAGUUGAGGUAGCUGUCUCACACACAAAGGUGACGAGGUUAUCUUGAAUCUUUUCAAAUGCAUCAAAGUCAUCAACAAUAAAUACAUGACGUUCACUGGGCUUACUGGCAAUCUUGGCCAGCUCAUUGUAAUCCACAUCAGCCACACCAACCACAAAGACACUGAAGCCAGAGUGCUGUAUGACCGUUGCUGCUUUCCUCACCUCAUCCUGUGAUCGACCAUCUGUGACAACAACAAGUACCUUGGGAACACCUCGUCUCAUGCCGCUCUCCCAAGUCAAAACCUUUUCUUUGAUAAAUGUUAGGGCUUUGCCUGUCCGUGUGUUUCCUCCUCUGUAUUGAACAUUUUGAAGAGCUCCCAGGGCUUGAGCCUUGUCAUCAAAUGUAUUCAGUUUAAACUCAGAUUUUGCUUCAUCGCUGUACUGCACAAAUGAAACCUGGAUUCCAGCAGGAUUAAUCAAGUCAAAGGCUCCUACUGUAUUAAAAACAAACUUUACUACUUUGUUGAAGUUAUCAUCACCAAUACUCCAGGAAGCAUCAGUCAAGAACACUAUGUCUGCUUUAGCACCUCUGCAUACAUCCCGAGCUGGAGGGAUUGUGGGAGGUGGAGGAGGCGUAGGCGGUGGAGUUGGUGCCUCUGUAGGUUUGAGGACCGUAUGUUCCCUCACAGAGACUGGAGGACCCUCAAGGUUAGGGGUCUGAACAAAGACAGUUGCAUUGUAUUCUGUGUCUGGUGAGAGGCCAGUAAAACAAUGGCUUGUUUCUGAUCCACGUACUGUAAUUUCCUGUCCUCUGGAUCCAUCAGCUGGGUUCAGCUUUAGUCUGUAGGAAGUUGCUGACCGGUGAGGUGACCAUCGGAUACAGAAAGUAUCCCAGCCAAUUUUGUAAGUUGUUAGGUCGGUGACGUUCAAGUAUAAUGUAGUGCCUUGAUCUGUCAAAGGUAUGCUCAUUCCGGAGUCGUACUGGGCAUAAACAUUCACAUCAUAAGUAGUACUGGGAGACAGAUUAUGCAAGGUGUAGGAUGUCACUUCCCCCACAAAAACCUCCAUGGGCUCAUUUGAACCCACAGGCUUGUAUACAAUUUUAUAGCCAAGAACAGGGGAUGGUGAAGGAUCCCAAGAAACUCUGAAUCGUGUAUACCAUUCAUCAGUUAUAUAUAUAUUCUGAGGAGGAAGCAGGCCAACAGUUCUUCCAUUUCCAGUCAACUGUCCACCAUCUCCGUCUUCAUACACAGCCACAACAGUUAUUUUAUACGGCGUAUCUGAUUGCAGUGGUUGUAGUAUGACAUUAUUUCUUAUGCCAGGAACUGUUGUAUAUUCAUCAAUAGGAUCUCCCACAGUGGGUGAAUAGAUGAUUCUGUACUGCUGGACUGGCCCAUCAGCAUGGUCCCAUUGUACAGAAAGGCUGUUUGUUGUCUCAUCGAACACUCUCAGAUUCCUUGGCCCACUGCGAGGCAAUGUUCUUCCCUGCGCUUGGCUUGGAUUUCCUUCUCCAUCUGCAUACAGAGCUAUAACAUUUAUUGAGUAAGCAGUGUCAGGAGUUAAGCGUUCCAGCAUCACAUCACGAGUGUUGGCUGGUACCACAAUAGAUUCUGAUGGUCUUGGGCCAGAUAGUGGAGAGUAAUUAACUCUGUAUUGCUGUACCGGACCUGGAGCAGGCUCCCAUCGAACAUUCAUGCUGUUUGGUGUGGGAUUGUAAACUUGAAUGUUUCUUGGUGUUCCUCUCUCCAAAGUUCUUCCAGUAUCAGUUGUACGUCCACCAUCCCCUUCUGGGAAAACUGGAACCACAGUUACAGUGUAAGGUGUGUUGGGUUCAAGAGAUCUGAGGAUAACAUAGUUUGUGUUUCCUGGUACUGUGGUCAUUUCUUCUGCACCUCCAGCUGUAGGUCUAUAAAACACUUUGUACUGGCGAGGAUUUCCUUCUGCAUGAUCCCAACGCACAUUCAGAGUACUGGUGGUCGGGUCAUAAACUAGCAUGUUCUUCACAGUAGUGAGAGGUUUGGUUCUGCCUCGUCCUGUCAUUCGACCUCCUUCACCAUCCGCAUACAUCGAUGAUACAGUAAUAGCAUAUGGUGUAUCAGGCUGCAGCUUCUGUAUUACUACACUGUUCUGUCGCCCACCAACCAUGGUCGAUUGUUCUGGGCCAUCUCCAUUGAUAGGCUGGUAAAUGAUCUUGUAUCUCUGCACUCGACCACUGGCAGGAUCCCACUUUACAGUCAAACUGUGUGAAGUUGCAUUGUACACUUGAAGGUUUCGUGGACCACUCUUUGGAGCUGGUGUUGUAAUAGGUACCAAGGGUAAUGUUCGUUCACUGCCAAUCAAGUCAUCACUUUCUGAUUCAUCAGGAUAAAUGGCAGUAACCGAGACUUCAUACAAUGUAUCUGGGUUCAGAUUUUCAAAGAGCAGACUGUUGACAUCUCCAUUUACAAUACUCUCUGCUUUUUCGGAUCUACCAUAUGGUCCCCAGGUUAUUCUAUAGAGAGAAACAUCUGGAGCUCCAUGAUCCCAAGUUCCUCUAAAACUAUUCUUGGUUAUCUCUGUGAUUCUCAGAUUGACUGGUGAUGGCACAGGCUGAGUAACAGCCUCUGCAGCUACUGGUAGAGAUUCCCCUUCAUCAUACACAGCAACAACCUUCACAUUAUACAGUCUUUGGGAAGAAAGGUCAGUAAGAGUAGUGCUGGUUUUGAGUCUGUCAAUUUCCACCUCCUUUACAUCAGCUUCAUCAGCAAUUUUGUAUCUUAUGAUGUAUUUUCGGACUUUCCCUGGGGCAGGAUCCCAAAGGACAUUCAUGGUGCUGUGAGUAACAUCCCUAAUUGUCACACCUCUUGGCCCAGGCAGAGGUAAUGUCACUUCCUGCGAGGUGAGCGGGUCACUGGUGAUAUCACCAUACAAUACAUAAGCUGUUAAAGUGUACUCAGUAUUGGGGAUGAGGUCUACCAGCUGAACCUCAUUCACUGAUGGUCCAACACGCAUCUCUUUCUCUGUGGUUGGGACUGUGGCAUUCACAGGCUCAUAUGUUAACAAAUAACCAGUAGCUCCAUUGACAGGUUCCCAUCUCACUCUCAUAGAAGUUGAUCCAAUGUCAUAAACAUUCAGGUUUCUAACUGAAGACAGUGGAUAAGUUAUUUCCCUGCCGAUUAGAGGUUCACUGCUUUCGUCUUCUACCACAGAAAACACGUUAACAAUGUAUUCUGUUUCAGGUGUCAGAUCUUUCAAAACUGUUGUAGUUUCCAUCCUACUUACAUAAAACUGUUUAGGGGGACCUCCAGUGGUAGGGUAAUAUUCAACUCGAUAUCUGUCAACACUUUCUGGAGGUGGACUCCAUCUCAGUCUGAAAGAAUGAGGUGUUACCUCUGAAAUAACUAGGUUAGAAGGAGGUGGCAAAUCACCUGGACCUUUCACGCUAUUACACAAAUUUGUGGUUACAUCUUCAACAAUGCUAGCCAGAAAGGAGAAAUCUGCAACAUUGUAGGCAUGGAUGUCAUCUGGAUCUGUUGCAAUUUGCUUCAAUUCAUUUUCAUCUGCGUUUUUAAUACCAAUUGCAUAAAGUUCUACUCCCUCAUCUCUGAGUCUUCUUGAAGGGGUCACUACGUCGUCUUGUGAUUUACCAUCAGUAAUGAGAACACCAAUUUUGCGAGCUCUGGGCCUCAAGCCUGCUUCUUGUUUAAAGUUGUUUUUUAAGAUGAAAUCCAAGGCCAUUCCUGUUAGAGUAUUGCCUCCUUUGUAUGGUAAGUUGGUUACUGCCUCUAACAAAGCCUCUUUCGUUCGGUAAGCAUUGAGAUUCCAUUCUGUCCUGGGAUCUCCGCUAUACUGUGCAAGACCAAUCUGUACUUUGUCAGGACCAAUAUCAAAAACUUCAACAAUACGGGAAAUGAAGUUCCUGACAGUUUUAAAAUUUGGCCUCCCGAUACUCCAUGAGCCAUCCACCAGUAGCACGAUAUCAGCUUCUGCUCUGGUUCUACAUUCUAAACCUCUAGAUAAAAAUGGCUCCGUGGUAGUGUCUGAAAGAGUGGUCAUCUCUUGUCCAACCAGGGGGUUGCUUUCUCCUCCAUCAAACAUUCCAAAAACAUUUACCUUAUAGGUAGUUCCUGCCCUAAGUUCCUCCAAAACCACAGUGCUGUCAUAGGGUCCCACAAUUAAUUCUCCAAGAUUCCUGUCAUCUUCAGUAGGGUGGAAAGUAACUUUGUACCCCUUCACUCGCCCAGGGGCCGGCUCCCAGGUUACUCGGAAACUGGACAUAGUUGAAUCAGAAGUUCUCAAAUUUCUAGGCGGCUUAAAGGGAGAGGCUGUUGUUCCUUCUGCUUUUCUUGAUUUUCCUUGUCCAAAAUCAUAAAUUGGAACAACACUGAGGUCAUAUGUAGUUCGAGGCUUAAGUCUCUUCAACACUAUGCUUGUGGCAGAAGCAUUUACUUUUCCAAACAUCUGCCUUCCUCCACUGCGUGGUCGGUAGUACACGCGGUAAGACAAGACCUUCCCAGGUGAGGGCUGCCAUGAAACUCUCAUUGUAUUCUCUGUCUCGUUGUCUACUGUCACAGUCCUGGCACUUUGUGACACAUCAGUAAAGGCCUCUCCUUCUACAGGAUCUCCUUCUCCACUGCUGUAGGCUGCAUAUACUGAAAUCCUGUAUUUAGUCUCUGGCUCCAAGCCAUCCAGCACUGCAUCCACCGUAUUUCCAGGGACUCUCUUCUCUCCCAUUGUAUCAUCAUAAAGUGAUUUCCACACUAUCCUAUAAUUAUUAACUGUUCCUGGAGCUGGUGUCCAUGAUAACCCAACUGUUGUGUCAGUUAUGUCUGUGGUAAUCAAAUUGCGAGGCGAACCACGUUCUUCAAGUGUUUCUCCCUCUCCAGAAAGGGCUUCUCCUGCUCCAGAGGCGUACAAGGCAGACACAGUCAAUGCAUACCUAGUGGCUUCAUCUAAACCUUUCAGCACUUUAGAGGUAGUGUCACCUUUCACAGUCAAUUCCUUAGUUUCACCUCCUGCGACUGGUGUGUAAGUUAUAAAGUACUGUUGCACUUUGCCAGGAGCAGCACUCCAAGACAGCUUCAUUGUUGAUGUUGUAGCAUCAGAAACUCUCAGAUUUCUUGGAUUUCCCCGAACUUCAUCAGUUUUUGCAUAUCCAUUCAGUGCAUUGCCAGGCCCAGACUGAUACUCAGCAAUAACAGACACUUCAUAUCUUGUAUCUGGAAUCAAGUUCCGCAGAGUAGUCGAUCUUUCGUUUGCUGAGACAGUCACUUGUCUCCUUUCUCCUCCAGUAAGUGGUCUGUAUACAAGCCUGUACCUUAGAACAUUUCCUGGAGCUGGAGUCCAGCCAACUAUAAAGCUGUCAGUGGUUUCAUCUGUUAUCCUUAAGUUUCGAGGAGCACCUUUAACUUCUAACGUGGUUUCCUCUCCAUCCAAAGGAGGGCCAUCGCCAUCUUCAUAUUCAGCAAUCACACUGACUGCAUAAGUAGUCUCAGGCAGCAAGUUGGUGAGAACUGAGCUAGUACUUGAAGCUGGGACUGAAACAAUGAAUUCAUCUCCGCCGAUUGCUACUUUAUAUUUAAUGAGAUAGGAC
rnacentral:lncRNA from 1 species